AUCUUUGCACUUGGGGCAAUGACUCAGGUAGUGAGGUUCUAACUGAGGCAUGUCUAUUGCUGGUUGAAACUUGAAAACUAUUUCCCAACCCCCUCUUCGGCCUGGGUUCAAGCUCAGGCCGUCAAGAAUUUCUGGAAGGGUUUCCUUUGGGUAAAACC